AGACCGAUAGCGAACAAGUAGAGUGAUCGAAAGAUGAAAAGCACCUUGAAAAGAGGGUUAAAUAGUACGUGAAAUUGUUGAAAGGGAAGCGCUUGUGACCAGACUUGGGCGCGGCGGAUCAUCCGGGGUUCUCCCCGGUGCACUUCGCCGCGUCCAGGCCAGCAUCAGUUCGUCGCGGGGGAAAAAGGCUUCGGGAACGUGGCUCCCUCGGGAGUGUUAUAGCCCGUUUGCGUAAUACCCUUCGGUGGACU
rnacentral:rRNA from 1 species